UACGUAGGUGGCAAGCGUUGUUCGGAUUCAUUGGGCGUAAAGGGUGCGUAGGCGGCGCGGUAAGUCGGGUGUGAAAUCUCGGAGCUUAACUCCGAAACUGCAUUCGAUACUGCCGUGCUUGAGGACUGGAGAGGAGACUGGAAUUUACGGUGUAGCGGUGAAAUGCGUAGAUAUCGUAAGGAAGACCAGUGGCGAAGGCGGGUCUCUGGACAGUUCCUGACGCUGAGGCACGAAGGUCAGGGGAGGCAAACGGG
rnacentral:rRNA from 1 species